AUUCAGCUGACGAGUCCCAAAUAGGGCGAAACAACCAUCCUGGAU
rnacentral:hammerhead_ribozyme from 1 species